UACGGAGGGUGCAAGCGUUAUCCGGAUUCACUGGGUUUAAAGGGUGCGUAGGCGGGUUGGUAAGUCCGUGGUGAAAUCUCCAAGCUUAACUUGGAAACUGCCGUGGAUACUAUCAAUCUUGAAUAUCGUGGAGGUAAGCGGAAUAUGCCAUGUAGCGGUGAAAUGCUUAGAUAUGACAUAGAACACCAAUUGCGUAGGCAGCUUACUACACGAUCAUUGACGCUGAGGCACGAAAGCGUGGGGAGCAAACAGG
rnacentral:rRNA from 1 species